AAGGGGGUGAAGAGAACCAGGAAGCUAAACUUUAAAAUGGAGAAUCAAAGAAUAAGAGAGCUGAACAUACUGACAUACUGAUUCUUUGAAGAGAAACUUGGGGUUCACUAUAUUUAACAGGAUCAAAGACACUCCUAGAAUAUGCAGAGAAAUGGAAAACUUCAGAAGAUCCCUUACCUUUAUUGGAGGUAUACACAGUGGCUAUCCAAAGUUAUGUUAAAGCCCGACCUUAUCUUACCUCUGAAUGUGAAAAUGUAGCCUUGGUUCUGGAACGCUUGGCAUUAAGCUGUGUUGAACUUUUACUGUGUCUGCCUGUUGAGUUAUCAGAUAAACAGUGGGAACAAUUUCAGACACUGGUGCAGGUAGCUCAUGAAAAGCUGAUGGAGAAUGGCAGCUGUGAAUUGCAUUUUUUAGCUACUCUAGCUCAAGAGACUGGGGUGUGGAAAAACCCGGUACUGUGCACUAUUCUUUCCCAGGAACCAUUGGAUAAGGAUAAAGGAUUCCAUCCAGGAUACCACAUUACAUUUAGUCGUCAUGUCUCCUUAGGCUCCUCUUGGCUGUGACAGUUUUUCAGACUUUCCUUGUUUUUGAUGACC
rnacentral:sRNA from 1 species